UACGAAGGGUGCAAACGUUGCUCGGAAUUAUUGGGCGUAAAGCGCACGUAGGCGGCUUUGCAAGUCGGAUGUGAAAUCCCUCGGCUUAACCAAGGAAGUGCAUUCGAAACUGCAGAGCUUGAGUACUUAAGAGGAUCGCGGAAUUCCCGGUGUAGAGGUGAAAUUCGUAGAUAUCGGGAGGAACACCAGUGGCGAAGGCGGCGAUCUGGGAAGAUACUGACGCUGAGGUGCGAAAGCGUGGGGAGCAAACAGG
rnacentral:rRNA from 1 species